rnacentral:lncRNA from 1 species
GUAAACGGUAUCCGUCCAUAAAUAACAGAACAAUAGACGGAGGGUAACAAAAUCUAACGGAAAAGAAUUUGAGGGGUUAAAUUACAAAAUAAUAAGUUGGGGGGAUUUUUUACGAAAAAUAUUUAGUUGAGGGGAUUUAUCACUAAAAACCCGUAUAAAAAUACAUGUUUUACACGUAGAGGACAUAUAUGCAUAUCUAAUCUUAGAAAAGAAAAGAAUCAAUUCUUUGUAGGAACAAAAUGAUGAUGUAAUAGUUACUACGAUAACAAAAUUGCAGUAGAUUG